rnacentral:rRNA from 1 species
UGAGAAACCUGUCCCGGUCUCUGGAAUAACAGUCGGAAACGACUGCUAAUACCGGAUGCCGUCGGAGCGUCGCAUGGCGCGCUGACGAAAGGGCUACUGGAUCGGGAGGGUCUCGCGGCCUAUCAGCUUGUUGGUGAGGUAACGGCUCACCAAGGCAUCGACGGGUAGCUGGUCUGAGAGGAUGAUCAGCCAUACUGGGACUGAGACACGGCCCAGAUCCCGUAACGGGG